rnacentral:rRNA from 1 species
UUCAGUUAAUCUAUUGAAAAUACUCCCUGCCCAGUGACUAAAUGUUCAACGGCCGCGGUAUCCUGACCGUGCAAAGGUAGCAUAAUCAUUUGCCUUUUAAUUGGAGGCUAGUAUGAAUGGGAAGACGUAGAUUCUACUGUUUCGAUAUAACAUAUAAAACUUAAAUUUUAGGUGAAGAUGCCUAAAUGAAAUAGAAAGACAAGAAGAGCCUAUAGAGUUUUAGUUAACCUCCCUCGCCUUUUGGAGUAUAACUUUGGUUGGGGCGACAUAGGAUUUCAAUAAACCUCCUAUUAUACAAAGAUUUAUAAAUCUCAUCAAUAGACCCUAUAACGGAUUAUCAGAAAUAACUACCUUAGGGAUAACAGGCUUAUCUUCCUAGAGAGCUCUUAUUGAUAGGAUGGUUUGGCACCUCGAUGUUGGCUUAGAGUAACUAAAUACCGCAGAAGGUAUUGAAAGUCAGUUUGUUCAACUGUUAAUUCUCU